UAUUUUGAGUAAUCGCUAUAGUAAUAUAGAGGAAAGUCCAUGCUCACACAAUCUGAGAUGAUUGUAGUGUUCGUGCUUGACGAAACAAUAAGUCAAGGCAUUAAGUUGACGGCGGUGACCUAACCUAAGUCUUUGAUAUGGUUACAAUAGCCUGAAAGUGCCACAGUGACGUAGCUUUUAUAGAAAUAUAAAAGGUGGAACGCGGUAAACCCCUCGAGUGAGCAAUCCAAAUUUGGUAGGAGCACUUGUCUAAUGGAAGUCAACAUAUAGACGAGGUAUUUAUAUUCGUAAUAUAUAAAUUCAGACAGAUGAUUACUGCCGGCGUACGAGUGUGACUAGUGCACGUUAGUAGUACUAAGGUACAGAACAUGGCUUACAAAA
rnacentral:RNase_P_RNA from 3 species